AGAGUUUGAUCCUGGCUCAGGAUGAACGCUGGCGGUAUGCUUAACACAUGCAAGUCGAACGGAAUCCUUAGGGAUUUAGUGGCGGACGGGUGAGUAACGCGUGAGAAUCUGCCUUUUGGUCGGGGACAACCACUGGAAACGGUGGCUAAUACCGGAUAUGCCUAACGGUGAAAGAUUAAUUGCCAGAAGAGGAGCUCGCGUCUGAUUAGCUAGUUGGUGAGGUAAGAGCUCACCAAGGCAUCGAUCAGUAGCUGGUCUGAGAGGAUGAUCAGCCACACUGGGACUGAGACACGGCCCAGACUCCUACGGGAGGCAGCAGUGGGGAAUUUUCCGCAAUGGGCGAAAGCCUGACGGAGCAAUACCGCGUGAGGGAGGAAGGCUCUUGGGUUGUAAACCUCUUUUCUCAGGGAAGAACAAAAUGACGGUACCUGAGGAAUAAGCAUCGGCUAACUCCGUGCCAGCAGCCGCGGUAAUACGGAGGAUGCAAGCGUUAUCCGGAAUUAUUGGGCGUAAAGCGUCCGCAGGUGGCAAUUCAAGUCUGCUGUUAAAGGUCAGGGCUCAACCCUGAACAGGCAGUGGAAACUGAAUAGCUAGAGUGCGGUAGGGGCAGAGGGAAUUCCCAGUGUAGCGGUGAAAUGCGUAGAGAUUGGGAAGAACACCGGUGGCGAAAGCGCUCUGCUAGGCCGUAACUGACACUCAUGGACGAAAGCUAGGGGAGCGAAUGGGAUUAGAUACCCCCGUAGUCC
rnacentral:rRNA from 1 species